UUGAUGGAUUCCUGUCCUUACUUUACUUUAAAUUUCAUAUGUGUCUGUGUGUGUGUGUGUGGGGGGGGAUUGUGCACAUGAGUGCAGGUGUCCAUUGGGAUCCCCUGUUACAGGCAGAUUCAAGCUCUGCAAGAGCAGUCUAUGCUCUAACCUCUAAGACAUCCUACGUCUUAUUUUUCUUAAUUGGACAAAGAACUCAGAGUGCAUGAGCUUUAACUUAGUCUGCAUCCACAGUGCAGAGAAAUUGAUAUGUACACUUGUGUUUGAUGGUGUCAUAAAACACAUUCUGGAAUUCAACUGAAAGGGAAAGGAAACAAAGGACUGGAUGCGUCCACUUGUGUUUCUGAAGCCACACCAUCUGAGAGACAGCAGUGCACGCUCAACCUUGCCAUAUGCCAAGUACACUCUUACAGCACAGUGUUUCCAAGAAUAACAUAAACCAUUUUUCCAAGUGUACUGCCUGCUGCCCAACAGCUCCUACCUACUUACAAAGUUUAGAAGAAAUGAACCAAACCAGAGACCUUGUGAGCAGAUGAACACACAGCUGAGAUGCUCUCAGGAGGCCUGGGAGUCGACUUAUUCCAAAGGAAUGACUGUGCUAUUUUUGUGCUUUCCCUCACAUUAUUUCUCAAGGCUUGAGGGAAUUUAAAUGUGACUUACUUGGCAAUGGCAAGUCUCUGUCCCUUCGGCACCUCUCGAAUGAGAUCCUUCACAUGAGUCACUUCACCAUGCUCAUUCUGACUCUUCACAGAGAAACCCUAUCACUUAAAGGGAGCCUAGACGUUGAGAAAGAAGUUGCCACCUCUACCUUGAAAAAGUGUACUUUAAAAAAAUGCCAUUAUUAAAAAUCAGAGCGGGGCUGGCGAGAUGGCUCAGCGAUUAAGAGCACCUACUGCUCUUCUGAAGGUCCUGAGUUCAAAUCCCAGCAACCACAUGUGUGGGGAGCCGCCCUCACAUUCGCCGUUACAAGAUGGCGGGACAUCCUGUGUUCUAAGUGGUAAACAAAUAAUCUGCGCAUGUGCCAAGGGUUGUUCUCCACUCCAUGUGCUCUGCCUUCCCCGUGACGACAACUCGGCCAAUGGGCUGCAGCCAAUCAGGGAGCGACACGUCCUAGGCGGAGGAUAAUUCUCCUUGAAAGGGACGGGGUUUUGCCAUUCUCUCUCUUGC
rnacentral:lncRNA from 1 species